UCGUUUGACAUCAUCAUCAUCAUUGGCUAAGACAUGAGACAUCCAACAUUGAUGAUGUCAUCACAUGACAUCACUCAGGCAGUUAUGACAUGUGACAUCAGAGCACCAGUGGUCAUUUUAAUACUGCAUCCAAAAUACAUUUUUCUCUUGUUAAAAAUUUUUUUACAUUUUUCUUUUUUUAGUAAUUGAAUGUUUUUAAAUUUCAUGACUGAGAGAAAAUGUAGUAAUUUAUUAAUGUGUUUCUCUUGAACUUUUGUACCUAAGUGUGAUUCAGGGACAUGCAUUGAGGUUCACGGUUGUUAGAUUUACAAACAGAUGAACCUACAGAGCUGCUUGUAACCCAGCUGUGGUUUUGCACGGUUACUGUCCCUUUAAUACCUCAUGCUUUGGCUUCAGUAUCUUUAAUACCUGCUGGCUCACGCUCAAAUGCAGUGGACGCGCACUUUCGGUAACGUGCACUUCCGGUAAUGACACACGCUUCAGAGGGAGCUGAGCUGAGCUGUUUUUCCAGCAGAUUAAUUAUCCUUUAGGCAAAGCUGAAACACCAUGGCGGAGCGCAGGAAUUUGUUUGGCUAAUCAGCUGGAUUGGCAUCCCCAUCUUCAUCUUGCUACCGACACUGCUGCUCAGAGUCACACCCGGAUCCCGCCCCCAGUCUCGCCACAUACCCAUGCUACACUACUCACCCCUGGGCUACUUGUUCCACGCCCCCUUCCUCCAUUCCAGGUUCCAGCUUCUGGGUCUGCUACGCCAAUGACAGAAUCCAUCCACAGGAGAUGGAGGAAGUGCUUAAACCUGCUUCUGGGGGCAAGAAAGUGGAUUUAGAAUGUGUGAAAGAGUUUCGGAGUCAUCAAACUGGAUUGCAGUGACAAGAAUGUACCGCGGAAAGCGCCGCCUCUUAGACGCUGGAUUCUGCAGUUGAUGUUCUUGGGGGCGUGGCUUUGGUGAGGGGGAACCGUCCAGGCACCACACUAGCUUGGACCGCCUCUGAAUAUUACCUCACAACGUGGAAGCUCAUCUAACUCUGGCUCAUUGAUGUUCAAGUUUCUCCCUGAAGAAGACAAUAUGAAAGCAGGGAGCUUGAGCAGGAUACCUUUGUACCAACUUUUAAGUCCACCGUUCUUCCUUCCUCCAACAACCUCCCCAUCUCUCUCAGCUAUUUCCUGGUGUCAGUCUGUGUAAUUGAGGAUUAACGCCAUCACCAUCAUCAUACAAGCCGACCUGGGUCCAACUCUCCACCAAUGCAGUCCUGAUUCACCCUGCCUCUAGUCACACCACGUCCCCAUGCCACCCUACUCACCUGCUUCCUGUGUAUCCUUCCUCCACACCUGAUCCUUCGCUUGGCCUCAUCUUACUGUUUAUUCAGCUGCCACAGAAACUCAGCUCCUGCUUCAUCAGAUAUCCACCGGACAAUAAAGAGUUAUUCAUCCCUCAUUCAGCAUUCCACGAUCCUUCCGGGUUACAGCUUCUGGGUCUGCUACGCCUCACCAUGUUACCAUGACAUAUUCUCUCUGCAGCUCAGCGUUCGCUUCCAUCUCAGGCUCCUUUCCCGCCCCACCCGUAGCUGUGUCUUCAACUCACCACUCCCCAGGGGAGGGGUCAAAUGUCACGCACCAUAGAUCCUCAUCCUCCAUCCGCCUCACUGUGCCCUCUGUCUGCUUCAGCUCCACGGGGAGGAGAGCUUUCUGCUCCUCAAUACUAGAAUUCACUUCCAUCAGACAACCAGAACACUGAUCCACUUCCUGUCCUGAAAUCACCCCUCAAACCUCAUCUGUUAAGAUUCCUGGUGGAUCAUCUGUGCUCCUGUUCUUGGCCGUGGACUUCGCCUGUGGCUCGUCUUGGCUGUAGACCUUGCGCCCACCCAUCCCCCAGUUGUAGAGUUAGAUAAGCUAAUCCUUCUUUAAUAGUCCUGGUAAAUCACCAGUCUGUCCUGAGAGAGGAUCCCUCCUUCAUGUGGACAUCCCCGAGGUUUCUUCUUUUUCCUGAAUCAGAGACAUCUGUCAAGAUUGGCUUCUACAUCAACUUGGAAACAAUUGAUGAUGGCAGAGAUGAAGAUGAAGAAACCUUCAAUCCAGGACAUGUCUACGCACCUUGGGUUGUCCUGGGACUGAUCAAGGACUUCUCUCGCCUACAAGGUAUCUGGAUCUGAGGAGAAGCCUAGCUGAGAUGGGUUGUGGGUGCGGGGGCCACCAUAUGAAAUGUCAAACACCUGUGAAAUCAUGGGGCCCCAGCUCCAUGUGUGACGAUUGGCCAUGAUACGGCAUUUGGAGUCAAAUUAGAAACCAUACAGGAUGACCAUCCACCCUGUAUGGGCAUCUCCGUAAGCCUGGGUCAAGGAAGCUUAGGAGGUACUGACACUUGCCCAAGGUGUGCACCCAGGCCAGUGGAGGGAAGGGGGCGCCUUACUUCUCGAUUCUAGAUCGGCUUUGAGCUCGGCCUAGCCACUGCCCACCAGAGAGCCCGAAAUCGGUUGUAAAACUUGCUUAGCUACAUGUGAACGAGAACGUUUUGAACAUGGAAGAUGAAAAAGGCGCAUGUAAGCAUUAUAACAGAGUUGUCAUUGAAAAUUGUCGUUUGAACACCAAGGGUGGUGUGAACGUAUGGUCAAGCAGUUGUAUCCCAUCUGUCAUGUGUUGAAAUUGGAAUGGGAAAGACAGAACAAGCAAAAAAAAAGAUACUGAAAGCACCAUUUUUAUUUGCAUAUUAGAUCUCAUGGAGGCAAAAAACUAAUUUACAUGAGUGGAUGGGGGAAAAAAAACAGAAAAUAGAGCAAUUAGUCCUCCAGCUAUCACCAAACAACAAGCGCCUUAACUUCACACAUUUUUUGUGAUUCAUGUGUUUUCUUUUAAUAUUUUUAAGAUAUGUUGUGCUUUUUUCUUUCUUUUUUAACAACUCAAAAUGUAGGGCACGUGUAUAACUUGUUUUGACUCAACUUCCUGUCCCAAUAGUAAACCACACCAGGGUUCAUUUGCAAGCAGACACAAACCUUAAGUGGGCCUCCACGCCACUUUGCUUGUCCAGAAGUGUUUUCUUCCUGACACUUUCAACUGUUGUACACUUUUUACUGUAGACUUUGGGGAAGAACUCAUGUCUUCGUCUGAUGUAUGUUGACAAGAAUCAAAGAAAACUAAGAAAAAUCAAUAGAAACGUAAUUACUAUUAUUCAGCCAGGGGCUGUAUUUGGAUACAUUUCCUUUUUAUGCUUCUCACACAAAACCAGAGAAAUUAGUUUGUUUCUACUUUUCAACAAGGAGGGAGAAUUUCCCAGAUAAAGGAGUCAUAUUCAUUGUUGAACAUCUCAGCUGAACUGGACAUUUAUGAAUGUGCUCAAAUUGACAUGUAUUUGGAAUAAUUAGAGUUCAACCAAUCCAUAGAUUUGUGUUAUAUUCUGUCUUCUUUGUCAAAAUGAGGCUGGUAACUUUGUUUUUCAUUUGCCAUCGAGACGGUUACAUCAGCUGCCAGCAUCAUUUUCCCCGUCGGGCUCCCCUGACUUUGACUUUGUUGUAGACAUGGUUCAGCGUUGACAGCACAGCAGGAUCCACGUCGUUCUGCGGUUGAUGUGCGGAAUUCUGAAGCAGACCAAUUAAAAGCCAGAUACUUCAAGAAUUGGCCUUUCGCAUUUCUGACAUCCUUUUUUCAACCACCCACCAAACAAAAAGGGGCCAAAAUAGUACGAGUUAAUUUGUCUCAGUUCAUUAGAUUUAAUGAGAUUGAUAUUAUUAGUGGGAAUGAAAAGGUUUUGGUAUGAAAACAGCGACUUUAGCUGUCAAGAAAAGUAUUGGAUAGGUGCUUGUUAGCCAAAAUCAAAGAGAAAGAUUAAUGAAGAUCCCAGUUGCAUAACAACAUCAUGACGACUAACACCAUAUUAAAACAUUCAACCUCCAAAAAGCAGCUCAACUUUCAAAUAAGCAAUCUUAGCAUCUUUAGAAAGUUGAUGACAGUUAUUUUAAAUUGAAUGUCUCCAAGGCUAUAAACACAUACUCUAGUCACAACUGC